GGCCAGACUCCUACGGGAGGCAGCAGUGGGGAAUAUUGCACAAUGGGGGAAACCCUGAUGCAGCGACGCCGCGUGAGUGAAGAAGUAUUUCGGUAUGUAAAGCUCUAUCAGCAGGGAAGAAAAUGACGGUACCUGACUAAGAAGCCCCGGCUAACUACGUGCCAGCAGCCGCGGUAAUACGUAGGGGGCAAGCGUUAUCCGGAUUUACUGGGUGUAGAGGGAGCGUAGACGGCAUGGCAAGUCAGAUGUGGAAGCCCGGGGCUCAACCCCGGGACUGCAUUUGAAACUGUCAGGCUGGAGUGCAGGAGAGGUAAGUGGAAUUCCUAGUGUAGCGGUGAAAUGCGUAGAUAUUAGGAGGAACACCAGUGGCGAAGGCGGCUUACUGGACUGUAACUGACGUUGAGGCUCGAAAGCGUGGGGAGCAAACAGGAUUAGAUACCCCUGUAG
rnacentral:rRNA from 1 species